UGGAGCAGAGAAGCGGUGGUCUACUGGUCUAUAUUGGCGGUCUGGAACUCAGAACAUGACCCUGGAGGCGGAACCACAGGAUCUCAUCUCCUUAUCGAGCGCCGGUCCCGGAGGAGAAGGGUGGGACCCAAGACGCCGACCCGGCCCGUCCAGAGCGGCCCACCAAUGAGGGCGGCGAGGAGAUCGAGUGUCUCUAUAAGUGAAGAACAUCAUCUGCUCGCUAAGUUUGCAGAACCUGACAGCAGGUCCGGGCCAGCGGGGAGCGCGCUUCUUUCAGUUUUUCUCAGGUUGCCAAGUCCACUCUCAACAUGUCCGACAACGAGGAAGUGUAAGAACACCUUCGGCCUCACCUUUACAUUUCACCUUUAGGCCCCCCCCCUUGACCAUGUUUUGUCUCCUUGUGUCCGCAGCGACCAC